UAGAAAAGGCCCAGUGUUGGAAUGGAAAGGCUGUAGGUCAGAGACUGACAAACUGUGGCCUUUGGGCCAAGUCCUGCCAGUCUGCUUUUUAUAGCCCUGAACUAAGAAUGCUUUUUUACAGUUUUUAAAGAAGACAAGAAUAAAUAAGAACAGGAGGGGAAGGAAGAUAAAGAAAAAUAAUACCAACCACCAUCGCCACACCACCAACACCACAACCACCAUCACAAGAACAGAAGAAGAGAGCAAACAGCAUGAAGGAAGAGGGACCAAACAGCAGAGAUGGCACAUAGCUUGGGAGUUAGAAGAGGCUGCUGGAUAGGGUAAGCUCC
rnacentral:lncRNA from 1 species